AGAGGCUGGAACAGGGAAUGUGGGAGGCUCUUUCUCCAUCUCCUGUCCGCCCCUUUCUCUGCUUUUGCUCAGGACGCUCGCUCUGCACGAGGACCUCUUCUGCUUCUCAGCUGACUUGUUGGGUGAAGGUGGCCACCAGAGGCUCCUGAGGCCAUAUGUUACUCUUCUGCCCUUUGGUGAAUCUCACAUCCUCACCCUCAGUCACAGGCACUCACCGUCAGCAAGAGUGAGGGUCACCCGAGAGCAACACGGCAGCAAGGAACCAGACUCAUGUCUUGGAGGAGAUGUGCUGGGCAGAAAGGACCACCUCCUGGGAGCACCAUUCACAUGGUCCACGAUGGCCACCUGAACGGUAGCAGAUGUACUUUUCGGCUAUGGAAGCUCUCUGAUCUCUAACACUGGAUUCCUGGAUUCACCCGGAUGAAAAAGGAGAGACAAGGUCUGAGGUCGAAGCAGCAAAAGCAGAAAGGACGUGAAGCUUGAAGGAAAGAAGAUCAACUCCUACCCGGUCAGU